rnacentral:rRNA from 1 species
UACGUAGGGGGCAAGCGUUGUCCGGAUUCAUUGGGCGUAAAGAGCGUGUAGGCGGUUAGGUAGGUCAGUUGUGAAAACUGGAGGCUCAACCUUCAGACGUCGACUGAAACCCCCCUGGCUAGAGUCCGGGAGAGGAGAGUGGAAUUCCUGGUGUAGCGGUGGAAUGCGCAGAUAUCAGGAGGAACACCGGUGGCGAAGGCGGGUCUCUGGGCCGUAACUGACGCUGAGGAGCGAAAGCAUGGGGGAGCGAACAGG